rnacentral:tRNA from 1 species
AGGCACAUGGCUCAGUGGUUAGAGCGUUGGGUUUAUAAUCUUGAGGUUGUGAGUUUGAUUCCUGGACCUG